rnacentral:rRNA from 1 species
GCAAGUCGAACGGUAACAGGACAUAGCUUGCUAUUUUGCUGACGAUUGGCGCAGGGUGCGUAACGCGUAUACAAUCUAACUUUUACAGUGGGAUGGCCUUUAGAAAUGAAGAUUAAUACCGCAUAGUAUGUUAACUUGGCAUCAAGUUACCAUUAAAGAUUUAUCGGUAAAAGAUGAGUAUGCGUUCUAUUAGCUAGAUGGUAAGGUAACGGCUUACCAUGGCGACGAUAGAUAGGGGCCCUGAGAGGGGGAUC